UUUCUCCUUUUGUGAACAGGUAUUGGUAGAGAAUGGAACAAAAGCUGGGCACCACCUUCUUAUGGAUGCCAGGGACCUGGUCCUUAAGGGAAAAGAGAAGUCACCCUUGGACUCUCAACCUGGUUUUUCUUUGCCCCGAAAGAGAAGACAAUGGAGGAAAAGUUCUUUAUGGUGAUCCUUGCCUGGAAGUCUCCAUAGGAAGCUAAUCACUGGCCCCGUAUUACUCAGCCUAUCCUUAAAUGGCCUUGCCAUGUGCAUUGUCACCUGUGCUGUCCAGAUGGGCAUAUGCAGCAUGCUGUGAUCACAGCCCACCAGCAUGGCAGGGAUUUGUAUCGUGCCCGUGCCACCUCCUGGUGAGAUCUUUUACCUGUGAUCACUCCGUCUGAGUUUCCUCCAUCCCCUACUCAAGAUCUCCCUGAGAGCUGACAAGGAUAUGUAACAAGUAUUUUCUUCUAUCAUGCCUCCCAAGGCUGAAGCUACCUGGUAUCCAGGAUGAGAGUGCUGGUACCCCCAUAUGUCUGUAUUGGUUUUAAUAAUCAUCAUCAUAAUAAAUUUUUAAACAAUGGAAGUGGGUUUUGUGAUUCAUAAAGGGAUAGAAGUCAGUUAUUCUGGCCUAUCCUGUAAUGAAUCCUCA